GGCGGAACUGGUAGACGCGCUAGGUUCAGGUCCUAGUGGCUGAAAGGCCGUGGGGGUUCGACUCCCUCC
rnacentral:tRNA from 1 species